rnacentral:rRNA from 1 species
ACGCUCGACACCUACGGGAAGCAGCAGUCGGGAAUAUUGCGCAAUGGAGGAAACUCUGACNCAGUGACGCCGCGUAUAGGAAGAAGGUUUUCGGAUUGUAAACUAUUGUCGUUAGGGAAGAGAAAGGACAGUACCUAAGGAGGAAGCUCCGGCUAACUACGUGCCAGCAGCCGCGGUAAUCUGAGCGGGCUGGCAAGGC